rnacentral:lncRNA from 1 species
UAUUCAUUUUGCUUUCCCCUGUAUUCCAUUAGCCGUAUUUCUAUGUACUCACAACAGUGGAGCCAUUGAGAGUAUGGGGCAAAUUCCCAUUUGUUGAAUUGUGGAAGAGUAAUAUCUCCAGUCUGAGGUUGUUACAGAGCUCUGAUUUUGAUUGGUUUUUAAUGUACAUUGAUUUGGAUUCUAGACAUUUUUCUUAACUGAUUACAGAAUAUCAAACCUCCCCACCUCCCCAAAUCCCGUUUGGCAGUCAAGGCAAAUUUUCCAGAGAAGUUUGUUCAUGGUUAUGUAAUCAUCUAUGCCUGAUGCAUGGAUUACUGAGCAGUUUGGUUUUCUCACGUCUGACUCCCCUCUAUUUCUUCAGGUGCACAUUGGAGAGAGCUUUCCAUUACCCGUUUUCUAUUUUUAUAACUUGGCAUUCAUUUCCUCUAGCUACUCUAUCUGAUUAGGAGCAGAGGCCAGGCUGGCACAGAAAGCUGAUGCAACGCGCAGAGCCUCUGCUCAUCAGGAAAUGAGUGAAUUCCUUUCCAUAACUGUCAGACAGGGAAAGGGCAGAGUCACACUCAGCAGGUCCCAGCUGGUUGCUCCCCGGCCAGCCACCCCUUCCCUGCAGAUGAAAAGGCCGGCUCUCUCUCUUAUCUGCCAUAUCGACGUUUCCUUCAAAGGCACUUCUGCUACUCCAGCCCUCUCUGGUUUACUUCUCUGGGUUCUCUGACAUGUUUUGCUAGCUUCCCCUCGCAAGGAAACCUACAUUGAUCACGUUGAAGCUUGUCUCAGUUAUAAUGCAUUCAGUUGCUGAUAUCAGAAAACCCAGUUCAAACUGAAUUAAGCCAAAAAGAAUGACUGGCUCACAGAACUGGAAGUGCAUCCAGAAGUAUGUGGGUAUCAGGAUGGGUUUGAUCCAGGGACACAACGAUAUCACCAAGGACCUGGUGUCAUUUAUUUUCUCUUGCAUGGAAUAUUAUCAGUUUCGUGUUAAGGCUGCUGAGCUGUGGUGGUCCCAGUUUGGGUGCAGAUAACUCCUAGUUCUACAUACUUCCAUUUCCCAAAGAGUAAAUCUAUCUACUACAAUGUUCCAGCAAACCCUCCCUGCUGUGUUACUGGCCCAAACAUGUAUCUGGGGCCAGAUGGUAGGAACAGUCUGAUUUUCUUGGGUCCUAAAAAUAUGCUCUAUCCUUAGAGUCA